CACGUAGGGUGCGAGCGUUGUCCGGAAUUAUUGGGCGUAAAGAGCUCGUAGGCGGUGUGUCGCGUCGGCCGUGAAAACCUGCAGCUUAACUGUGGGCUUGCGGUCGAUACGGGCAUCACUGGAGUUCGGCAGGGGAGACUGGAAUUCCUGGUGUAGCGGUGAAAUGCGCAGAUAUCAGGAGGACCACCGGUGGCGAAGGCGGGUCUCUGGGCCGAUACUGACGCUGAGGAGCGAAAGCGUGGGGAGCGAACAGG
rnacentral:rRNA from 1 species